UACGGAAGGCAGCAGUGGGGAAUAUUGCACAAUGGGCGAAAGCCUGAUGCAGCUAUGCCGCGUGUAUGAAGAAGGCCUUAGGGUUGUAAAGUACUUUCAUCGGGGAGGAAAAACAAAACUAAUAAUUUUAUUUCUUGACGUUACCCGAAAAAGAAGCACCGGCUAACUCCGUGCCAGCAGCCGCGGUAAUACGGAGGGUGCUAGCGUUAAUCAGAAUUACUGGGCGUAAAGAGCACGUAGGUGGUUUUUUUAAGUCAGAUGUGAAAUCCCUGGGCUUAACCUGGAACUGCAUUUUGAAACUGAAAUACUAGAGUAUCGUAGAGGGAGGUAGAAUUCUAGGUGUAGCGGUGAAAUGCGUAGAUAUCUGGAGGAAUACCUGUGGCGAAAGCGGCCUCCUAAACGAAUACUGACGCUGAGGUGCGAAAGCGUGGGGAGCAAACAGGGAUUAGAUACC
rnacentral:rRNA from 1 species